UAUUUACACAGUGCUCCAUCUCCGUUUCCGUCUCCUUCUCUGUCUCUAUCUCCGUCGUCGAUUGGGUCUCUCUCGCUCUAGAUUCAGAUCUCGGGUAAGAUUUCUUUCAGAACAGAUGUAGCUUUUGUAUCUGGAACUGGCU